UAAAGUGAAUAGUAUUUGACCCUAUAACAUUAAAUUAAAGACAUUAAUUGCAGAACCUAGAGAAUAUCUUCCAGCAAUAAUUAAAACUCAGGAAUAAAUUUUUCCAUCAUCAUAUAUCACAUUGAAGUGUGGAUACUUAAUGCCUGAUUAUUCAGAUCUGCUCUACAAAACAGUCGAGAAAUGUCCACCACAUAAUUGCUAAUGCUAAUUGAUUUAGUCUAUGGUUUUAAAAGCAGUGAUAUGAAAGGUUCCAAUUGUUUAGAGUGUUGUAAAAUGUGACUGUUAAGUAAGGCAUUUUCAGGAGUUUGGGGAACAUUAUUAAAGUUCAUUUCCAUUGUGCAGCUGCAGGAGUUGGAAUUAUGGAAGUGAAGAAGCUGUAAAAUCGAAAAGGUCAGUAAUGACAUUCAUCUAUUCCAGCUGUCAAAUCAAGGGAAUGUUAACAAAACUAGUCUCUGGUAGAAAAGCUAAUUGUCUACUUGUAUUUUGGCUGCCCCAAUACACAUACUCUACUGUGCCUAAUCCAUAGGAAAGACCACACUGGAACAGUAUAUCAUUUUUUGAACAGGCUUCUUGUAAACAAAUAAACCUAAUUUCCCUAAAUUAGCAAGCUCUAAUGAUUCUGUAACCUAAAUCAGCCUACAAAGCAGCCAAAAGUUUCAAGUUUAAAGAAAACAGUAGGUGAGUAAAGUUCACUUGUAAUCCUGGAAGCUGAGUUUUCAGAGUGCUGAGAGUACAGGGCAAAUUUUAAAUUUUACACUGAUGCAGUCCUGCAAGAAGCAUUUCAAAAAUGUCUCCUGCCAAGGCAUGUUUUAUUACAACAACAUAUAGGAAAGUUUCUUUCACAGACCAAAUCUUUUAUAGAUGACCUGGAUUUAAUGAUCCCACAGUGUGAGGGACCUUGUCUUCAACAGCCCAUUCCCAUGGGGUGAGACAGGGCAAAUGUAAGACACCUAAACACAAAUUAUCAGUGGAGACGGAGCCCACGACCUUUGUUAUGGAAUGACAGGCUCCUGCCACAUGCAAAAAGAGCCCUCAUCAAGAAACAGUGAGAGACUUUUGCUUUUUAUGAUGCACCAAAUCCUGUCUUACACAGAGAAUGACGUCCCUCAGCAACUGAGGCCAAAGAAAAGGGCCCGAGACGUGUACCAUGCAAGGCAUUCAAGGGAAUCCAGUGAUUAACCUACACACUUUUAUUGCAAACCCCCCUGGCUAUUUUCUAUUGCUCUCUAGGUUUGUAUUUUCACCCUAUAUGCUGGAGAUGUUACCAGAGGUUUAUGAGGACUGCUUGAACAACCCCACACAGCUGACACUCGGUGUGAAGACAGUAUUCCCACAGUGCACAUAUACACCACCUCAGAUUUUUAUUUGUCCUGUGUUAUGUAAUAAAAAUGUGACAGAAAAAAUCCAGCUUAACCAAUGACAACAUAAUAACGGGUCAAUAUGUGGGUUAUUUUAAAAAUCUUUCUGCUAUCUGACUUGUUUCCUAUGCAGAAGUGUUGCAAAAGCUAAAAACAAUACCAGCAGUUCAUGAAAUAUUCAGGUGUACAGUUGCAAUUCUUUAAUAAAUGGGAGUGACCUUCAAAACAGACAUCUCAAAGAUUAAGAGAACUUCUCAAAAGAUGGCAUUUGUCACUAAUCAAUGGCUUGAAGAACUUACACUUUUCCUAGCAAUGAAUACAAAAAAGACCUUUCAGGAUUAUACCACUUUAAAAGCAAAUCAUUCACAAAACCCCCACAAAAGAACAUUAAUGAGCUAACAAAACAGCAGAACAAAACAUCACACAAGGCAACUGAAAAGAUAAAUCCCCUUCUGCCUAUCAGUACCUACAUCCAUAUCUGGAUUGGUGGAAAGCCACUGACACAUCCAUCUGCUGUUUCCAGGGGCUGGACAAUGCUUUUCACAUUAAAUACAUGCCUUUUAUUGUGAUACUGUACAUCAAAAUACCUAUAACAUUUUACAAAUGGAUUUCCUUUUUCAUAGUCACACAAGUAUCUUGGCUCUAACUGGGUCACUGUAUUGGAACAGGUGUAAUCUCAGCAGAAUACUGUAGGAAAUCUGGGCUACAUUAAUGGCUGAUCCAAUUACAGCGGAAAUCUCUAGAAAACCCAGAUUUAUUAAGAACCAGGAGAUAAUUACAAUGUACUUCUAGGGAUGACCAGAUGGACAGGCCAGUCUCAAACUCUUUAAGGGCACUGGAGCUGAACAAGAGGUGCUUAUGCCAUUGCCUACGUAGCUGGAGAAAUUCCCAUUCUGAGGACAUGGUAAAAAAGCUGGAGGCUGACUGCAGACACCUGGGGGGGACUCAAUCCCAACACAUCCUGGCCCAGGAAGUAGCAUGGCUUACAUGCUGCUGUGAGGACAGGGUGACAGAGGAAAAGGUCUCCAGGAAAGAAUGACAGCAGGAAUCAAGAAACCCCAGGCAGUUUUUUGUCCAAGGAGACUAUUUACGCAAAAGAGCUCCUUAUGACUUAAUAUCAGGUCCUCUUGACAAGCUGCAUUUUCUCUCCUGAAUAGGAAAUAAAUGCCACCUCCCAGGUGCCCAUCUGAUCUGACACUUAGAAACACAACCAUCUACCACAGGUUUGGACCAGAAAAAGAGAAUGAAAAAUACUUGAUGAAUCUGAGUAUAAAUAGGUCUUUUUACCAAUCCAAAGGCAGGUAAAACUUCAUAGCAGCCUCUAUGAUUUUGGUAACAUGCUUCAUCAGAGAGACCUGCCCUUGUCUCUGGUAAAACUGCACCUGUGAGUCGUCCCAUUAAGGUAAUUUGGAUCUAAGAAGAUGUCUGACGUUAAGCAUUUAGUUAGUUAUGAACUUUGCUGAAUCACGGUCUUUUUUUUUUCAGCUAAAUAUUUUCCCUAAGAAGAUAUAUUAAAUAGUAGAAGAUAAUAUUUCUAAUUUAUGGAACUUCCUGCCAGCUUCAAGCUAGUAAAUAUUUACAUUUUAGCCACUGAUAGCUAAUGUGACCUUUCUGUUAUACACUUUACACCUGUGCUAUAUUUUACUUUCAGUGUUAACAGUCUUUCUAGUCCAUCUUUCAUUAAUAAGCAGUAUUUAAAUAUAUGCAAAUUUCAUAUUUUAGCUGAUGUUUUAGGAACAUUUUUAAGGUCACCCUGUUUGAUCUAUCACAUAGACAUAGCAAAUUUAUGCACCAUAUAUCCUGUCUCUACUUGUUUUUUACCUACAUCUGUCUUCUCUGAUUGCAUUUGAAUGAGCUUAUUUUUUAUUUUAAAUAAAAGAUUUAUGCCUUAGCUAUCAUUUUGCCUUUAUUUGAAAAUUUAAUUUUGUUUCUAGAAGUCUAGAUUAACUUAUUAGAUUUAACUGUCCCUUGUGCAUUGCAGCAAUAGAAGAAGUAUAUUUUCCCCUGUGGAUAGAGUACAUAAACAAAAUGCUCUUGACUUAAAAUAAAGAAUGUUAUUACUCAGACCAGUACAACACAGUCCAGGAUACAAAAACUAGUGUUGUCAUUUUUAAUAAUAAUAGUGACAAAUGGGAAUUGACUAAUAAAUAUGACAACUCACAAAUCCAGCAGCCUCCAAAACCUGGGAAAUGCUUUGCAGAAAAGGCAUGCUCCCCCAAAAGGGUCCCCUACACUUAGGUUAGUGAAUAUCCUUUCAUGACACAGCACCACUGGGACACACAACUUGAUUCCUGAUACUAAUGGAUUUAUUUAAAUGAGGCAGGAAUGAGAAACUGCACCACUGUUUCCAGUUAGUCAGAGGGCUGUUUAUUGAUUCCAGUGGUAUAUCACAUCUUCAGUGUGACACGUUCUUUAGCAUCUCUCAGCAGUGCUACAUUCAUAAUAUUUUCUCUCAAGUCCUGGAAUUUUAGGGCUUUCCUGAAGGGAUAACCAUCUCAUUGCAGUUGCUGCCUGUGGUCCUAGCAAUGUCCCAGACAGCCGAGUUCUCUGGAGCAGGGGGGGGCUGGUGCUUGGGGGAGGUUAAUAUUUUCAAAUGUGUUCAUAUAUUUUGACACUUUUUCCCCAUUUUUCAUUUCUAGAAGUACCUGGGUUUCUGACCAGUUCUCUUAUUUUCUCUUCUCACUGUGACAUCCACGUGGACUCAGACAGAAUCUGGUUUUAAUCAACCUCUACAACUCCUAUAAACACUCAGACCCUACAGCUUGUGAUUCUGCACUUCAACAAUAUGCAGUGUGAACAGAGAAAACAAAAAGCUGAAGGAUAAGUAUUUACCUAUGUUAGUAAACCUUUAGUCACAAAGUGGCAAACCUUGUCCUGGCUCCCUUUGUUAAAUACUGAACAUCAUGAAAACGGGUCUUUUGAGGAGAAAGGAGGAAUUCCUUGUACAAAGAAAACAAUGUAGGUACCUGGUGGCUUUUAUUAUUCACAAAAUAUCAGCUAAGAGUUCAAUGGCACACAUGACUACAAGGUCCCCUACUCCCCCAAUUAAGGGCAACACAGCUGCUAUUUAAUAUCAUCUAUAAGCUAUUUAAUAUAAUGAUGAAGAACAGCAUGGCUACCUACUCUUAAGGAAGGUAGGACAGGGCAAAGCUGAACCUUUUGGCAGCCUUCAGUCUGUGCCACUAUAUGCAUAAAGUGCUAUCAAAUCCAAGUAACUGCAGUAACUGGUCAAUCUUGACAUCAGCCCAGUAAAAGUUCAGUGAAAAUACCACAAGGCACAUCUCCAUGUACACAAAGCCAUCAACAGAAAAGUGGAGCCUUCCCAAGGUUCUUGGAAAAUCUUAUCAGCUCAGAAACACUCUAAGAUACAUAUUUUAGACACAAUCAUUAAUAUGAGCCUCCUGCUGUCCUGUCCUGCUAAAGAAUACGUGACCUCUGUGGCAUGGAAUGACCACACUAGUGGAGGCACUGGGCAGGUAACCAUCCAGCACAGAGGACUUACACUUAUCUGCUCUCCUGGUAGCAGGUUCCUCUGCUGAGGAUCAUGAGUAAAGCCAUUCCAGACUAUUGCUUCUGCUCUGAUAGCAAAAAUUCAUCAAAGAUGUGUUACAUUAAAUCUUAAACGGCCUUUCAAAACAUCAUACAGGACGAAAAUAAAAGGCUAAGACCUGCAAGGAAGCAAACUGUGCAGUACACGCUUAAAGGUUUCUUCAUCAUGCUUAAGAAGUAGAAUAUAUUAUCAUGACAAUUAUUUGUUACAGAUAGCACCUUCGAACACCAAAUAAAUUGUACAAACCACUGCACCAGCAGAGCUGAAAAGACUGCUCCUCCUCCAAAGUGGUGUCGCUUUGAUUUAACAAGUAAUUAAUGAAUACAUAAACCCCGGACAGAACUUUAAUCUAUCCCAGUGCCAAAUAAUUAAUCAUUCAUUCCACGUUUAAUCCUGCUCUGAUAAAUGUAAUUAAUAUUUCACCAUGACACUGCAGAAUAGAACAGUACCUGGGAGCAGAGAAGCCUUCCAUUUCUCCUUUGUUGUAAGUCUGAAGUGAUAACUGCUGUCUACAACUGACAGGUAAUCCAGAAUGCAGUGUUCCCCCCGCAGUUGUAAAUUAGGGUUUAUGCAUGGCAUACAUUGUGAUUGUAAUGAGCCUUUUCUUCUUCUGACCUAUAAUUAAAAAAACACAAAGCAACAUCAACAAAACAAAACACAACAACUAUGAAAAAUAAGUCACCUGAGCUUGGUCAACCAUUUUUCUGACCUGACAGCGUUUGGGAAACCAGAGCUUGCAGUAAUGUUUUGGUCUAUACAAUGUCAGUGACCAUGUGCCAGGGAUGGGGAUAGAGAACAAAGCAUGUGCAGAUUGUCUGCUUCUGUCCACAGAGAGCAGUGCUGUGAGAAAAAGCAACUGGAUGAAGAUUUAAGUCCUAAUUUUACUGCAGCAAAACACUGGCAUCUUUUUUGAAAGCUUAAAGUCUAAUCAAGAAACGUGUUGAUGUGUACAAAAUUAAAUUUCAGGAACUCCUCUGCUGAUUUUUUUCAGGGUGACACAUCUCAGGUAUCCACAUAUUUCAGCAAAGAGUUUUGCGAGGAAGAUUGUAUAAGAAACAAAUUGCUUCGGGAUCCUGCUGCCCAAUUACUCAGAAAAAGAGAGGCAUCUCUUCAGAGUUGUCUCCUUGCUCAGCAUUCUCCAAGCAGCAGUGGCCUACAAGACCAGAGCCUGAGAAACAGCCCCGCAGAUGGAGCUGCAGGGAUCCUUCAUUUAUCAACUACAUGAUUAAUUUGAUGUGGACCAAUACUUGCUCUUGGCUUUGCUCUCUUUGCUCUUUGUUGGUUUUUUGUGUUUUUUUUUUUUUUUUUUUUUUUGUUUUUUUUUUUUUUUGUUUUUUUGUGUUUGGUUUGGUUGUUUUUUUUAUUUAUCUUGUGUUUAUAAUAUCUGCAGUAGAUUCUUUUAUGUAUAAAAACAUAAAAUCAUGUAUUGUAUACAGGUAGUAAAAGCACUGAUUUGUUACUGCAGUGUGUUUCUCAAACUAGCUGAGUUCAUUUAGGCAAUGUACUUUAUCAAAGCUGUAUUUUGCCCACAGCAGAACAAACUGUCAGCUGUUAGAGAGGAAUAAUUAUUUUUCAUAUUAAAAUGUGGCUAUAUGACAGCUCAUUGCAUUCAUUAAACAACUACCUAUUCUUCAGUCUGGAAUCAGAACUGCUUUCAGAGAGUAUCCAGCUUGCUACUGAAAUGAUUUAAAUAGGUCGAGCGUAACACUGUAAAUAUGACCAAGGCAAAAAGCCAGUCAAUAAAACUGUCAGUUUUACCCUAAUAAAGGAGGAAGGCCUUUGCUAUUUCUCUGUAGCAGACAGUUUAUUGUCCAGCUGUAUGCAACAGCUUCAGGACAUCUGGCCACUUAAUCACUGAGUAUCAAGUCCAGAAUGCCAAAGGAGCCACAAGCAAAAUAAUCAGUGGUCUAAUUUUCUUUAGUACUGAAGACCCUGCACAUAGCUCUGACAUCAACAGAUGGUUUUGGUGUGAAAUGCAUGAGAUUUCAACAUUCCUGGUGGCUGUCAGAAAAUGACAAAGAGUUUUGCUGGAACAACAAUCUGAAGAAGCACAUAUUGCCUAGGCGAGGUUAUAUUGCUUAUAUGGUGGGGCAUAAGUCUGGGAAAGACAGGAGGGCAUUUAUCUCUGCCAGGAGAUGGUCAGCCUUGUCCCAGUGCCUGCCUUAAGCCACAGCUGGAAGCAACAAGUGCAUCAGUGGUCCCAGCUGGAAGCAUACACAACAGUCUCAGCCAAGGCAGGGUGGCUGUUAGCUGUUUCUGCUUUGAAAAUAAGGUACCUGGUUUACCUGUAACCUAAUUCAGAGGCAAAAAGGAUGGGCUCAAGACUAUGCCAAAUGCUCAGUACUGCUGGUGCGUAAGGAAAGGGUGUUCUUUGCUCUAGUUACCCUAGAAGCAGCUCCUGCCAAGACUAAAACAUCCACUGAGUUACACAACUAAAUGAACCAGCUCCUUCCCCCUGCAAAGCCUUCUGUAAGGCCUCAGGUAGUCCUGUGCACAUAGAAAUCCCUUUGCUUUAGCAAACACAUCAAUCUCUCACUUUCAUUGCUACAGAUUAGGGCUUAAAAAUAGACUUGACAUCAGGAUUUUCUGGUUUAUACAACAAAGUUAAAGUUCAAUAUAUUGAUAUGAGCUGUAAGGCUUAUUUCCUUCAGGGUGCAAUCAAAACGUGGAUUUCUACAGCUACAAGUGCACAGCUUUGAUAUGACUGCAGGUACAAAAGCUGCUGUGGGAGCCCCCAGGCAGCUGAAGUUAGACAAGACUGAGACCAUACCAGUGGGCAGUGUUGGCCUAUCUGUGUGUUUCCAUUUGGGGAAGGGAUCCCACAUCCUGUGCUUUAAACCAGGAGAGUUCUGGAAAGCAAUUCUGCAUCAUAAUGAUGCCUGCCCUCAUCACCAUUUUCUCAGGACACAUUGCUCCUCCCUAUCUGAUGAGUCUAUGAGGACCUGUGUUAUCUCACAAAAAGGACAGCCAUGGAUCUGGAAAGCCAUGAGGCUUAAGUGAUCUACUCCCCACAUCUGUGUGCUCAGAGGGUCAGUUACAAGGAGGUUGGGCUAACACAGACACUGAAUCUGCUGCAGAACUGAUGGGAGGCAGUUACCAGCUCAUCUGUUUAGUUGUAGUAAAUUAUCACUAAAUCCCCAGGUACCCUUGGACUAUAGAGGCUUCCAAGAUACCAAAAGGGAAGCAUUGAUACAUUACACGGAUGAGGAAAACAAGAGAAGGACAGAGGGUGUUAGGGGUAAAAAUAGGAAAAAAUCCCCAAUAUCCCUUCUUUUCAGGUGAGUCCCUCCUCUACUGAAAUACAGAGCUGUCCUCUGUCACCUACCAUGUUGUUUGUGCUUGUUCAGCUGUGGAGAAAUCCGUCUGAUGAAAUGAAACAUCUCAGCCCAGAAAUGAGGUAGCUGCUAAGUGAGAGUACUGGCUUCACACAGCCAUCAAGGCAAACGCCUUAGGACUGAGCUGUUCAACCUGCAAUGGAAAACAAUUUUGCUUUUUUUUUUCCCACUAGGCAUAAGUCUUCCCUGUCUUUCUGUUGUGCUAGUGAAAGCAAAUUUCACUGGAAACUGAAUCCAUUUACAAAUAUUUUGACAGAUUGAGACAGUUGCUUAGGAAAAAAAAUGAUUAAAUGUAUGCAGAUAAAAUAUAGUGUCAUGUGAACAGCUGCUGCACAGACCCACAGCCUGUGUGGACAUAAUUUUAUUUAUGCUUUUUAAAGUCUAUGUGGGUGUCCCUGUAAAACAGAAAGUGAACAUUACUCCUGUUGGUGAUAAAUUAAAGAAAAAUCUCAGAUGAUUAAUCCCCCAAAAUGUGCAGUCUUGACUUUUUUUUCUUUAGUUUUUUUGUCAGGAAGAUAUCCAUGCAAAAUGGUACCAACACUGCUCUUGUAUACACUCACACGUCCCAUUCUGUAGAUCUCAUUGGCAACACCCUUUGAAGCUGUCUCUGUUUCUGACUGGAACGGGUCAUUAUGUGUGUGCCUCAAUCCACCACUUUUGAAGUAACCUGCAAAGAGAUUGCCAUUAGAAGCCAGUGCAGCAAAACCAACUAUCUUCCAUCUAAAAUAUGACUUGCAUUUUUGUAUCACAUCUUAUUUUUCUAUUUCUAACGUUAUAUUACCUAUCUAUAUAGUUACUCUUCUGUAGGGACAGAGACCAUGCUGUAUCUGCUUUUCCUGUACCAAUUACUGCUAUUUUAAGAUGACUGUGUAGAAAUGUCUGCACAUAAAUAUUAGCUGGAAGUU